AUGAACGCUAGCUACAGGCUUAACACAUGCAAGUCGAGGGGCAGCAUGAACUUAGCUUGCUAAGUUUGAUGGCGACCGGCGCACGGGUGAGUAACACGUAUCCAACCUGCCGAUGACUCGGGGAUAGCCUUUCGAAAGAAAGAUUAAUACCCGAUGGCAUAGUUCUUCCGCAUGGUGGAACUAUUAAAGAAUUUCGGUCAUCGAUGGGGAUGCGUUCCAUUAGGUUGUUGGCGGGGUAACGGCCCACCAAGCCUUCGAUGGAUAGGGGUUCUGAGAGGAAGGUCCCCCACAUUGGAACUGAGACACGGUCCAAACUCCUACGGGAGGCAGCAGUGAGGAAUAUUGGUCAAUGGACGAGAGUCUGAACCAGCCAAGUAGCGUGAAGGAUGACUGCCCUAUGGGUUGUAAACUUCUUUUAUACGGGAAUAAAGUGAGGCACGCGUGCCUUUUUGUAUGUACCGUAUGAAUAAGGAUCGGCUAACUCCGUGCCAGCAGCCGCGGUAAUACGGAGGAUCCGAGCGUUAUCCGGAUUUAUUGGGUUUAAAGGGAGCGUAGGCGGACGCUUAAGUCAGUUGUGAAAGUUUGCGGCUCAACCGUAAAAUUGCAGUUGAUACUGGGUGUCUUGAGUACAGUAGAGGCAGGCGGAAUUCGUGGUGUAGCGGUGAAAUGCUUAGAUAUCACGAAGAACUCCGAUUGCGAAGGCAGCCUGCUGGACUGUAACUGACGCUGAUGCUCGAAAGUGUGGGUAUCAAACAGGAUUAGAUACCCUGGUAGUCCACACAGUAAACGAUGAAUACUCGCUGUUUGCGAUAUACAGUAAGCGGCCAAGCGAAAGCGUUAAGUAUUCCACCUGGGGAGUACGCCGGCAACGGUGAAACUCAAAGGAAUUGACGGGGGCCCGCACAAGCAGUGGAGUAUGUGGUUUAAUUCGACGCAACGCGAAGAACCUUACCAAGGCUUGACAUAUACAGGAAUAUAUAAGAGAUUAUAUAGCUCUUCGGAGUCUGUAUACAGGUGGUGCAUGGUUGUCGUCAGCUCGUGUCGUGAGAUGUUGGGUUAAGUCCCGCAACGAGCGCAACCCUUAUCGAUAGUUACCAUCAGGUGAUGCUGGGGACUCUGUCGAGACUGCCGUCGUAAGAUGUGAGGAAGGUGGGGAUGACGUCAAAUCAGCACGGCCCUUACGUCCGGGGCUACACACGUGUUACAAUGGGGGGUACAGAAGGCAGCUACACGGCGACGUGAUGCUAAUCCCGAAAGCCUCUCUCAGUUCGGAUUGGAGUCUGCAACCCGACUCCAUGAAGCUGGAUUCGCUAGUAAUCGCGCAUCAGCCACGGCGCGGUGAAUACGUUCCCGGGCCUUGUACACACCGCCCGUCAAGCCAUGAAAGCCGGGGGUACCUGAAGUGCGUAACCGCGAGGAGCGCCCUAGGGUAAAACUGGUGAUUGGGGCU
rnacentral:rRNA from 1 species